CCUACGGGAGGCAGCAGUGAGGAAUAUUGGUCAAUGGGCGCGAGCCUUAACCAGCCCAGUCGCGUGAGGGAAGACGGUCCUAUUGAUUGUAAACCUCUUUUGUCGGGGAGCAAAAGACGCCACGCGUGGCGUUCCGAGAGUACCCGAAGAAAAAGCAUCGGCUAACUCCGUGCCAGCAGCCGCGGUAAUACGGAGGAUGCGAGCGUUAUCCGGAUGUAUUGGGUUUAAAGGGUGCGCAGGCGGAAGAUCAAGUCAGCGGUAACAUUGAGAGGCUCAACCUCUUCGAGCCGUUGAAACUGGUUUUCUUGAGUGAGUGAGAAGUAUGCGGAAUGCGUGGUGUAGCGGUGAAAUGCAUAGAUAGCACGCAGAACUCCGAUUGCGAAGGCAGCAUACCGGCGCUCAACUGACGCUCAUGCACGAAAGUGUGGGUAUCGAACAGGAUUAGAUACCCGGGUAGUC
rnacentral:rRNA from 1 species